UGGGGAAUUUUGGACAAUGGGGGCAACCCUGAUCCAGCGACGCCGCGUGAAGGAUGAAGGUCUUCGGAUUGUAAACUUCUUUUGGAGGGGAUGAAUGACCUGGUGAAUAGCCAGGAGUGACAGUACUCUCUGAAUAAGCCACGGCUAACUACGUGCCAGCAGCCGCGGUAAUACGUAGGUGGCAAGCGAUACUCGGAAUCACUAGGCGUAAAGCGCAGGUAGGAGGUUUGGAAAGUCUCUUGUGAAAGCUCCCGGCUUAACUGGGAGAGGUCAAGGGAAACUACCAGGCUAGAGUGCGGUAGAGGUAGCUGGAAUUCCCGGUGUAGCGGUGAAAUGCGUAGAUAUCGGGAGGAAUACCUAUGGCGAAAGCAGGCUACUGGACCGUCACUGACUCUGAUCUGCGAAAGCUAGGGGAGCAAACAGGAUUAGAUACCCGCGUAGUCC
rnacentral:rRNA from 1 species